UACGUAGGGGGCGAGCGUUGUCCGGAAUUACUGGGCGUAAAGGGCGUGUAGGCGGUUAGAUAAGUCUGGGGUGAAAUGCCAUGGCUCAACCAUGGCACGGCGCUGGAAACUGUCUGACUGGAGUUCGGUAGGGGUGACUGGAAUCCCCGGUGUAACGGUGAAAUGUGUAGAUAUCGGGGGGAACACCUGUGGCGAAGGCGGGUCACUGGGCCGCAACUGACGCUGAUACGCGAAAGCGUGGGGAGCAAACAGG
rnacentral:rRNA from 1 species